rnacentral:rRNA from 1 species
UACGAGAGGCCCAAACGUUAUUCGGAAUUACUGGGCGUAAAGCGCGUGUAGGCUGCUCGGAAAGUCGGAUGUGAAAGCCCUGGGCUCAACCUAGGAAGUGCAUUCGAAACUUCCGAGCUGGAGUGCUGGAGAGGAAGGCGGAAUUCUCGGUGUAGAGGUGAAAUUCGUAGAUAUCGAGAGGAACACCGGUGGCGAAGGCGGCCUUCUGGACAGUGACUGACGCUGAGACGCGAAAGCGUGGGGAGCAAACAGG